UGAAUGGCAAAAUGUCCAUUAAACAGAAGUGAAAGUAGGAUCCAGUUCCAGGCUUUAAAAUGGAAAUGGCUGAGGUUUUUCUGGGUUAAUGACAACUUCUGUCUCCAAUGCGACUGCCACGAAAGGAAAGAGGUUCCUUUUGCAGGACCAGGUAAGGCAGGAGAGAGAUGGACACUCUGACCUGCAGAUGUCUCUUCAUCCUGGAAAGUGAGAUUCUGCUUUUUACCAGCUUCCCUUUCAGGCUGGCCAGCGUGAGGCACGCAGCUCUCGGGAACACUCUUGGAGUGUCUCAAGGAAGCCCUGCUCUGCGAACCUGGAGUCAGCGUAGCUCUGUUUCACUGUCGCUUCUGACUGCUGAGGGGGACUUCCAGGUCUUCUUCUGCCUGUUGGGAAGAGAGCUGCUGAAAAACAUCUCCUUCUCAGGGUCUUUCACUGAACGACCCCCCCUCCUCCCCACCCCCUGCAUCACAGCCCUGAUCUAGCAAGACACCGGCGUGGAAACUGAAGCCUCAAAACCUGAACAGGAUGAGAAAUGUGUAACCUUUGGAGAACGCUGGAGCCGACGUGAUGUUUCAGAGCCAGCGUCUAUUCUUAGAAGAGUGAUGAAAGUCAUAAUUCAAAACCAAGAUCCAGUGCAGUGCUAGCCGCUCGUAUUCCUGGUAUUCCUGUGAGUAAAUCCCUCAACGUGAAUUGGCUUGACUUCAAGCUCAGAAACACUCCACCAAAAUAAGGCCCAGCUGUGAAGCAUCUGUAGGACUGCUCUGAAUGGGAGAGAAGUACACACUGCACCUUCCACACCAGCCGCUCUCAACGGAGUGGGCGACCCCCAAAGCUCAUGCCUGUAGUUUACUCCGUGUUACAGGCCAAAGGAGAGCUUUUCAAGGGCCUCUAUAGGCCUUAGCCAAUGCAAGUGGUGAAAAUUGAUGUAUAUCAAUAUACAUCAAUGUAUACCUCUGCACUGGUGAGGCCACAACUGGAAUACUGGGCUCCCCAGUUCAGGAGAGACAGGGAACUGCUGGAGAGAGUCCAGUGUAGGGCAACAAAGAUGAUGAAGGGAUUGGAGCAUCUCCCUGAUGAGGAAAGGCUGAGAGAGCUGGGGCUCUUUAGCCUGGAGAAGAGAAGGCUGAGGGGAGAUCUUAUUAAUGCUGACAAGUACCUAAAGGGUGGGUUGAAGGAGGAUGGAGCCAAACUCCUUUAAGUGGUUCCCAGUGACAGGACGAGGGGCAACGGGCACAAGUUGGAACAUGGGAAGUUCCACUCCAAUCUGAGGAAGAACUUCUUUGGGGUGAGGGUGGCAGAGCCCUGGAAGAGGCUGCCCAGGGAGGGUGUGGAGUCCCCUUCUCUGGAGAUCUUCAAGCCCUGCCUGGAUGCUCCUGAGUGAUGUGCUCUGGGCAAACCUGCUUUGGCAGGGGAGUUGGACUGGAUGAUCUCUAGAAGGUCCCUUCCAGCUCCAACAAUUCCAUGAUUCCGUGAUAUGUUCCC
rnacentral:lncRNA from 1 species